GCAUCAUCGACCGAUCCUGAAGUCUUCGGAUGGAUUUGAGUAAGAGCAUAACUGUUCGGACCCGAAAGAUGGUGAACUAUGCGUGGAUAGGGUGAAGCCAGAGGAAACUCUGGUGGAGGCUCGCAGCGGUUCUGACGUGCAAAUCGAUCGUCAAAUCUGCGCAUGGGGGCGAAAGACUAAUCGAACCAUUAACGGAGAGACCAGCGGUAAAUAAUUAUUUACUAGGUGGUUAAUAGGCUUCUUGCGAGAGGAAGCCUAGGUCGGACUUACCCGGGAUGAACCGGGUAACCCUUACCCGGGACCUACCCGGUAGCUCCCUACCCGGGAGCUACCCUGUAGUACCGGGUAGCCGGCCGACACCGCUAAAUUGCGGGGACAUCCUACAGAAGGCUCCAGGCUACCGCCGCGUGCUGAAAAGCGUCCGCGGCACCAAGAAUAGCGCUCUUGGGUAUGGUAAAAACGCCUGGGGUAUCGGACGACCUGCAGCCAACCCCGCCAGCCCUAGAAGGGCCCAGGGGAGAGUUCACUGACUAAACAGCGGUGGGUCUUGCGGCGAGAGCCGUAGGGCUUAAGACAUAGUCGAUCUGGGCCCUGAAAAGGUGACCCUAAAGUAUUAUACUUAGCGGAGCUAGUAGCUGGUUACCGCCGAAGUUUCCCUCAGGAUAGCAGUGUUGUUUUCAGUUUUAUGAGGUAAAGCGAAUGAUUAGGGACU
rnacentral:rRNA from 1 species